rnacentral:rRNA from 1 species
AGGGAAAAGCUCAAAUUUAAAAUCUGGCGGUCUUUAUGGCCGUCCGAGUUGUAAUUUAGAGAAGCGUCACCCGCGCUGGACCGUGUACAAGUCUCCUCGAACGGAGCAUCGUAGAGGGUGAGAAUCCCGUAUAUGACACGGACUACCAGGGCUUUGUGGUGCGCUCUCGAC